rnacentral:rRNA from 1 species
GACGAACGCUGGCGGCGUGCCUAAUACAUGCAAGUCGAACGAGUGGCGGACGGGUGAGUAAUGUCUGGGAAACUGCCUGAUGGAGGGGGAUAACUACUGGAAACGGUAGCUAAUACCGCAUACCAUCAGAUGUGCCCAGAUGGGAUUAGCUAGUUGGUGGGGUAACGGCUCACCAAGGCGACGAUCCCUAGCUGGUCUGAGAGGAUGAACAGCCACACUGGAACUGGGACACGGUCCAGACUCCUACGGGAGGGAGCAGUAGGGAAUCUUCGGCAAUGGACGGAAGUCUUACCGAGCAACGCCGCGUGAGGGAAGAAGGUUUUCGGAUCGUAAAGCUCGUUGUUAGAGAAGACGGUAACUAACCAGAAAGGGACGGCUAACUACGUGCCAGCAGCCGCGGUAAUUC